rnacentral:lncRNA from 1 species
UGAAAGAACGAAGGGAAGAUGGAGCAGCAUCAUUAAAAUCAGGAACAGGAGAAUCAGAUGUAGGGGAAGGAGGGGAGGAAGCAUGUAUAGGAAAAUCUGUGUCAGUGGAAUGUUCAGCAGGGGGUAUAGAAGGAAAAGAUGAAGGAGAAGGGUGAGCAGAAGAAGGUUUAUUCUUAAAGGGAAAACAAGUUUCAUGGAAUAUAACAUCCCUGGAGACAAAACAUUUCUUGGAAACCAGAUCAUACAGUUUAUAAUCCUUGUUGGCAAAUGGGUAACCCAGAAAAAC